UGUAGUUUUUUUGCCUAUGAUUGAAGGUGAGCUUCUGUCAGUUUGACGUAGACUUGGGUCGUCAUAAGCUGUUUUCUGUAAGGCUCACAGCAACCACGAAGUGGAGACCCACAGUAGAUGCUCACAGGGGAGAGAGACAGGAAUGAAAAUGCACCACCAAUGCAGAAAAUUAUAAAAUCAUGCAGGCAGAAAGCAAGAGAAGAGCAAAUGAAAAAGGGACUACGAAACAGUCAGUAAACAUCAACACGCUGGCAUUAGUACGUUCUUAUCAAUGAUUAAAGGUAAAUGAUUUAAAUUUCCUCAUUAAAACACAGAGAGCGGCUGAAUGGAUAAACAAAACAAGCUGCCCUCGAGUUACCUUCAAGGAUACACACAGGCUGGGAAAACCUGCCGUGCACACGGUGAACAGCGGGAGACAAAGGUCAUUAUGUAACGAUAAAGGGCCAAUUCAUCAGAAGAUAUAACGGCAGUAACUCUGUAUCCACCCAGCUUUAGACCACCUACAUAUGACUGUGCGGGGCAGGAGUGCUGAGGGGAGGGACCUUGCCUGGUAGCUGACCUUGGAAGAAACACGUUAAACUUUUCCCUGGCAGACCCUCUGCAUGGCCCGUAAGAAGCGAGUUGUGACACUUGUCAUGCUGCCACUCGCACGCAGGGCCCUGAUGCUGACGACAGGUGCGUGCGUGGUGAAGACAGUCGGUCACCUGCACACCUUCCCAGCGCUGCCCUGUCUCAGAGGUCAACCGUCUGCCACAACUCACCAGUAACCCUUGCUGCAGUGCGCUGGAGGCACGGCCCUUCUCGUCCAGAGUCCCUGUGGGGAAAAAUCUACCACGACUGUACCUAGGAAAUCGACGCCUUGGGCCAUAUUUUCAUUCAGCAGAAUGCAGAACUUUCUUAUCUAGUCACCUGUCCGAGGUCGAGAAAACA